rnacentral:rRNA from 1 species
CCUACGGGUGGCUGCAGUCGAGAAUCUUCGGCAAUGGGCGCAAGCCUGACCGAGCGACGCCGCGUGCGGGAUGAAGGCCUUCGGGUUGUAAACCGCUGUCGUAGGGGAGGAAGGCCGCGUGAAGAGCGCGGUUUGACCGAUCCUAGGAGGAAGGGCCGGCUAAUCUCGUGCCAGCAGCCGCGGUAAUACGAGAGGCCCAAACGUUAUUCGGAUUUACUGGGCUUAAAGAGUCCGUAGGCGGCGCAGAAAGUGGGGUGUGAAAUCCCUCGGCCUAACCGAGGAAUUGCGCUCCAAACUACUGUGCUUGAGGAACCUAGAGGUGAGCGGAACUGAUGGUGGAGCGGUGAAAUGCGUUGAUAUCAUCAGGAACACCGGAGGCGAAGGCGGCUCACUGGGGGUUUUCUGACGCUGAGGGACGAAAGCCAGGGGAGCAAACGGGA